GGUGAAAAGCACCCCGAGAGGGGAGUGAAAGAGAUCCUGAAACCAUAUGCUUACAAGAAGGUAGAGUCCGUUAAUGGGUGAUACCGUGCUUUUUGUAGAAAGAGCCGGCGAGUUACUAUUGCAUGCGAGGUUAAGUCGAUAUAGAUGGAGCCGUAGUGAAAGCGAGCCUUAAUAGGGCGUUUAGUAUGCAGUAGUAGACACGAAACCGGGUGAUCUAGCCAUGAGCAGGUUGAAGUUAGGGUAAAACCUAAUGGAGGACCGAACCAGUAUUCGUUGAAAAGACUUUGGAUGACUUGUGGCUAGCGGUGAAAUUCCAAUCGAACCCGGAGAUAGCUAGUUCUCCCCGAUAUAUCUUUAAGGAUAGCGUUAUGUGAAUUGUUGUGGAGGUAGAGCACUGAAUCUAUGAUGGCUGCACCUAGCGGUACUGAUUAGAAUUAAACUCCGAAUGCCAUAACUUGUGCAUAGCAGUCAGAACAUGGGUGAUAAGGUCCAUGCUCGUGAGGGAAACAGCCCAGAUCGUCAGCUAAGGUCCCUAAGUGUAAACUAAGUGUGUAAGGAUGUGGAACUGCACAGACAGCUAGGAUGUUGGCUUAGAAGCAGCCAUCAUUUAAAGAGUGCGUAACAGCUCACUAGUCGAGUGAUUCUGCGCCGAAAAUGUACCGGGGCUUAAGUUUACCACCGAAGCUACGGAUUGUACGCAAGUACAGUGGUAGGGGAGCGUUCCAAGGGUGAUGAAGUCAGACCGUAAGGACUGGUGGAGCGCUUGGAAGUGAUUAUGCCGGCAUGAGUAACGUUUGGAAGUGAGAAUCUUCCAUGCCGUUUGACCAAGGUUUCCUGGGCAAGGUUCGUCCACCCAGGGUUAGUCAGGACCUAAGGCGAGGCCGACAGGCGUAGUCGAUGGACAACAGGUUGAUAUUCCUGUACCAGUUAAUUAGUGAUGGAGUGACGGAGAAGGAUAGUAUAUCCCGGGUGCUGGUUGUCCCGGGCUAAGCACAAAGACGGCAACAUUGGCAAAUCCGUGUUGUAUUAACGUUGAAGUGUGAUGGGGAGUGAACGGUUCGCCUAGUAACGAAGUAUAUGACUCCACGCUUCCAAGAAAAGCUUCUAACAUUAAUAAUUAACUGCCUGUACCUAGAACGAACACACGUGGUCAAGGAGAAAAUCCUAAGGCAAGCGAGACAACUGUAGCUAAGGAACUCUGCAAAAUAACUCCGUAACUUCGGAAGAAGGAGUGCUCAUCUUUGAUGAGCCGCAGUGAAGAGGGAGGGGCAACUGUUUAACAAAAACACAGCUCUCUGCUAAGUCGCAAGACGAUGUAUAGGGGGUGACACCUGCCCAGUGCCGGAAGGUUAAGAGGAGAAGUCAGCACAAGCGAAGCUUUGAAUUGAAGCCCCGGUGAACGGCGGCCGUAACUAUAACGGUCCUAAGGUAGCGAAAUUCCUUGUCGGGUAAGUUCCGACCUGCACGAAUGGUGUAACGAUCUGGGCGCUGUCUCAGCCAUGAGCUCGGUGAAAUUGUGGUAUCGGUGAAGACGCCGAUUACCCGCAACGGGACGGAAAGACCCCAUGCACCUUCACUAUAGCUUAACAUUGGAAUUGGGUACAGGAUGUGUAGGAUAGGCGGGAGAUGUUGAAGUGGCUUCGCCAGGAGUCAUGGAAUCAACCUUGAAAUACCGCCCUUUCUGUAUUCGGUUUCUAACUCGGUUAUGCCGAGGACAUUGUUUGGUGGGUAGUUUGACUGGGGUGGUCGCCUCCAAAAAGGUAACGGAGGCUUUCAAAGGUAAGCUCAGUACGCUUGGUAACCGUACGCGGAGUGCAAUGGCAUAAGCUUGCUUGACUGUGAGACCAACAAGUCGAACAGGGUCGAAAGACGGACAUAGUGAUCCGGUGGUUCUGUAUGGAAGGGCCAUCGCUC
rnacentral:rRNA from 1 species